rnacentral:lncRNA from 1 species
CCCCACUGGGUAACAGGGAACCCUCUCAUCAUGCUGUUGUUGACUGAACUCUUCCAUUCUUGAGACCCCCCCUCCCAGAUGUUAAAUCCAGCCAAAGGAAAGCAGCAAAGCCAAAUAGGUACUACCACAAAACCUAGCCUUAUAGGUGUUUUUUAUCUGCAUUCUUCAUUCUGUUCAAUAUUUCCUACAAACACUUCCUCA